GAUGUGGAUUAUUUUAACCAUUAUAGAUAGGGCUGGAUAGGAUCUAAAAGCAAAAUCCAUGACAUCGAAAAGUUAAGUCGCAAGUCAAACUACUAAAGACUAUAGCUUGGUUAUUUGAUAUCUGAUUUUGAUGAUUUCUUUUUUAAUUAGACAGUUUUUUAAAUUUGAUAGACAUCUGACCCAUCUGGAUAUAGUUGGAUCUGAUCGGCAUUU
rnacentral:lncRNA from 1 species